CCGCUCCCAGCAGCUGGUGGAGCCGCAGGACCCCCGCGCAGCCCGGGCCGCCGCCGUUAGGGUUGGCUCAAGCCUCUCGGCCCAGUCCGCCAGUUUUACAGCCCGAACUCAAAGAGGGCUUUUAACUUUUCAUUCAGCAGCAGCGUAGCUCCGACUUUUAAUAACACACCUCGUGCACGACAAAAAUUUGCUCCUGGCAAUCAUGGUUUCGACCACAAAACCACAGCGGGGAGGCGUUCCUGGUUAACUCUUUCAGCGCUCCAGGCAGUCUGGAGCCGGCGCUCCUGGAGAUCAGAUAGACCGGCGGCGGCGGCCGCGGUCAGGACUGCGACGCUUCUCGUCCCCAUCCCCCAACCGAGUCGCGCCUCUGCGUGGCUGCGGGGAGACUCCAGGCGGCGGCGGUGGGGCCCAGAGAGCACGGAGCGAGGCUGCGGGGGACGCUCCUGCCUCGGUGCCUUAGACCUACUGUGUGCCAAGCCCCUUUGUGGCGAAACUCUACUGGGCUGUCAACGGGGCCUGCCUGGAGGGCCGGGGGAUGGCAGGCGCUCCAGCGGGCAACAGGAGGUCACCAGCGAGGUCGCCAGCAGCUCCAAUUCCCCGGGGCCCCAACGCACCUUCAGGAAAACCCGACGGCAGGCAGCUCGCGGGCUCUAGCUGUUUUCCCGCGAUACCCGGGCGGUCGGCAGCGACUUCCGGCGCCCUCGGCCGCAGCCCAGGAUCCUUUGCGCCCUGCGGUAGCCUGGGGCUGCCCAGGGCUGCGGGCUCCAGGCACCCAGAGCGCUGCGACCACAUGAAAGGCCCGGCGCUCAGCACCCGCCAACCACCGCCAGCUGGUUUCUAACUACACCGCCGGGGCCUCCAUGCUUCUCAGGGACCAGCCUUCGAAGUGCCGCCUUAUACCCGGGGCCUGCCCACCGGGCGGGCGCGGAUGGAGCUCCUGGUCCACAUUGGGGAGCUCACAGUUGUUCCUGCCAGAUGAGGAAAAUGAAGCCCAGAAAAAUUGAGAUCACCCAGGGACAGAGCCUGGAUUUGAACUUAGGUCAAGCCCACUACAGAGAGUACACAUGCUUAACCACCACGCUGUAACCUUCCCACUUGGGACUGUUCCAGCCCAUUAAACAAGUCCCUUUAGAGAAACUCAACUCUGCCUAAGACAGCUCUUAGAACUACCUCAAAGAAGUUCCUUUUGGCAAGAAGAUAGAAAGCCUCGAUGGGACUGGGAUUGUCUGAUUUCCAAGGCCCCUUCAGAGGAUCAAAAAGUGGUGCCAGAAACCUUCACAGUUUCAGUCUUGUGUUUCCCUGCCUGGCUCGAAACUGCUCAGCAAAGAGAAUGAGAAAAACUAUUUUCCCAGGGAAACACUCACCUCUAGCUUGAGACUGGGGCUUGCCUUGACACGCCAAAGUAAGAUCGUCAGCCCAUUCAUUUACCCUUUACAAAUUGCUCUGUGAAUCCCGGUGCCGGCCUCCCCGCUUUUUCCCCUCCAGGAAACCCCAUCCAGCCUCCACGCCCCGAGAGCGGCAGGUAUCCACCGAUGUUUACUCACUCAAGUUCAUUCGACAUCUUUCUGCUCCCAGGCUCCGACGAUCAGCACUGAGGCUCUGCUGACCGCUUGUCUCUAAUUCUUGCCUGACACAGACAUUCUCUGCCCAGGGAAGUGUUUGAUUUAUGUUGAGGUUUGGGUGUCGAGAUUUUGCUGACAGGUAGGUUCCCAGCAGCGCUGGCGCCGAUUGGCUACAGGUACAGGUGCCCGCGACUGGAGGUAUACCUCAACAGGUGCAGCUGUUAACUCUUAGCCCGCCGAGGAGGGCGGAGCUAUGGGGGACUGGCUGGGUGGAGCUGGCCAAUUCCUUCCUUGGUGAGGGGGUGGGGGGUGGAGAUGAGGGAGGAGGGAUGGAGAAAAAAAUGUUGGAAAGAAGCAAGAUAACUAGAGGAAAAGUACAGGGACAAACAGAUAACUUGGCUUAAAGGAAAACUUGAUUCCUGUUUCUAGCCGUCCCAGAUACCCAGAAACAUCCCCACCCGCACAUUUCUUUGCCCCCUCCUUCUGUACCACUGGGGAAUUCUCAAAGGCGAGAGCAACUUUUCCCAGGUAGAUCUUUGUAUAAGUUCCCUUUUUUUCGGUUUCCCCUUUAAGAUAAUACUUAUGAAUAAUCUUUUACAGUUACUCAAGUGACUUCUUUUGGUUCUUAGAGUAACCCACUGUGAUAGAUUUAUUAUCGCUUCCCCCUUCCUCUUCAACACACAUUUUACAGAUGAGGGAGGAAAUGGAGGCCAGAGAGGCAAAGUGCCUUGCCCAAGGGCACAGCUAGCAAGGUCCCAGCCCAGAUCCAAUCUGCGGUCAUCUCACUCCAAGUCUGGCUGCCCCUUGGGCUGAAGUCAGUGGCCUCAAUUCAGCAGACAUCCAUUGAGCACCUGUUGUGUGCCAGACCCUACUCUGGGUUCUGGAGAAACUGAGGCCAGAAAAACAGGGUUACUGUUCUAGAGGAGUUUACAAGAGUUAAACAAGGGUUUAUCUGGGGAGGGGGGAUGUGUGUUGGUGGCAGGGGGUGGGGGAGUAAAGGAGACCAGGCUUUUAUUGGGUGUGAAGGGGGUGUGGGCAAGCCACAUACCUCUGCUUAGCACAGAAGGGAUAGAAAAGUUGAAGGUGCCUCCGAAGCCUCAGCCAGCUGGUCAUUUCACAGGCGCCAAGUGCUUCGUUCUGUAUGGGGAACUUGGGAGAAAUUCAAUGCCUGAUAGAUGAAGUAAUUGUGGAGUAAUUGCUGUGAGCUGUCUUCUAUGAAGAACAAGCUUGGUAAACCCCAGAAUAUCCACAAACACAAACAGGAGAAUGUUAGAGCAUUUUAAAGAGCUUCUUCCAGGAUUAGUUUGAAAUUAAAUCUAAGCCAAUGAUCUUGGCAUCUUUGUUUCCCUCUCUCUCUUUCAAUUCUCCCCUCCCCCACCCUUCCCCUUUUGGCAAAUUAUGUCUUUGCUGUAUCUUCCUGGGAACCUCAACUUGGCCCACUCCUCUCUCUCUCUCCUCUGGGAAUGGCAAAUGAGGUUUCAGCUACUCCUGCCAAUUUAUGGAGGUUUUUCAAGGUAAAGUCGGAAUUCAAAGGAGCCCUCUUGGGUUGGGGUCAGGGCUCUGGAGAGGGGGUACUGGGUUUGAGAACUCUCGGAGGUUGGUUUCUCCCUGGAGGCUGUGUUGGGGGAAGCCCAGGGGACCCUAAUAAAUAAUAGUAAAUAAUUGCUAAUAAAGCCACCUCCUCAGAACAGCUCUCUUCAGUCACCCUUGUAAGUAGACAUUCAGUCACUCUGGAUCACACUACUGUUUGUUCUCUGCAGAGCCCUUAUGACUUAUGAUAUAAUGUAAUAUGACCUAUGAUAUUUUUCUAAUUGUUUAUUGUCUUUCUUCCCUUCCUCUGGAAUGAAAACUCCCUAAGAGCAAAGACUUUGUUUCGCUCACUGUGAAAUCUCCAGUGUCUAGCACCUAGUAGGUGCUUCAUAUACCACAGGCACCGGGCAUUGUGCUAAGCCUUUGCAUGCAUUGUCUCACCUAAUCCUUACAGCAAUCCUGGGAGAGAGACACUUUUGGUAUCUCCAUUUUAUAGAUGAGGAAACUGCGGUACAGAAUACUGAAGUAAACUACUCAAGCUGCAGAGCUAGACGGUGGUAGAACUAGAGCUGGGAUUUAAUCUGAGAGCAGAGCCUGGGUACCCAACCACCUCACAGAGGUUACUGGUGGCCGAAGGGCUAUUUGGUGCCAACUGUAACUGCAAAACUUAUUGCAGUCCAAAGGAUGGCACACUCCUCUGUAUGUACCUGUCUGCCCACCUCUUGGAAGGCUGUGGAGUUUCUGUCAGCCGUGUUGCAACCCACAGGUGAAGGGCUGUGGGGUGACUCAUGCUGGCUGGGCUCAGGGGAGGCUGGGAUUCCAGGUGGCGUGUCUGUGCUCGCUAGGCUUUUAAAAAUGGGUCCUCUCCCUCUGCCUCUAGGUCUUGCCUCUUUCAUCAACUGUACCCAUCUUCAGAGAUCAGCAGAGACCCAAAUCACAGGGGUGAAACCCACAGACAUAGAGGGUUUCUAUGUCUCCACACACAGGAAGGCCACAGAAAUAUCCUGGAUGGGAUAGAAGGACCAGUGGUCUGGGCUAGGUAGGCAGGGAUGUCAUGAGCCACUUUGUAAGGUCACCAGACCCCUCAAUAGGAGUUACACCUCCCGGGCAGGAGGUACAAGUGCUGUUCCAGGCUUUCAUCCCAACAACCCAGAGAUGCCAAGCCUUUAAAGAGAUGCCCCCCAUGCUUUGCUGCUGCCCCCUUCCUGCUCCCGUGGGGCUAAGCAAGGCUGGCACCUACUUCCCCUUCAUGGAUCAGCACAGCUCUUGGUUCCUCUGCAGGGGAGAUUUAAAACAGAACAGCUAUUCCAAAAA